rnacentral:rRNA from 1 species
CGGGAACCGGAAAGACCCCUUGAAGACUACGAGGUAGAUAGGUGCGAGGUGGAAGCACAGUAAUGUGUGGAGCUGACGCAUACUAAUCGGUCGAGUCCUUGAUCGU